ensembl:lncRNA
CCUCCUGCUGAUGUCACCACGCUGAUAAGGAGGGAGCAUGGCUGGUGAAGCCCUUAUCUGUAGAGGCCAUCUGAAAUGGCACUGCACAGGCUGGGAGACAAGCGGCAAGAAAGCAGAAAGGGACCUGGGGUGUUGAUGACAGCAAGGAUGUUAAGGUCCUUGAAGGCAUCAAGAGGAGGGCAACAAAGCAGCCAAUUCUACAUUCCAAGCCUGGACCGCCUGUACUUUGCUGCCAUUGCUUGUGGCAGGUGUCACCAACAACCAGAGCAAAAACAGCCAAGUUCACUGCAGCAUGCCAAAAAGUGUGCCACAGCCCGGGCCCACAUCUUUGUCCGCAAGGUGCAGCCAAGCACAGCACUCCAGAAGGACAGGAAUCACCAGUGAGCAGUUCCAGUCUGGCUGGUGCUUCUAGGUGAGCUGUUCAGACAUUGACCUGUGUGUAGUUAAACAAAUCAACCCGUCUGCAAGGAUUUGUGCGAGAAAACAAAUGACAGAGCAAACAGAGGACAGAACAGCUGUGGCAGCAGCAAGGACUGAGCCUCACCCUUUAAAGGUUUUUGAGUCUCAGUGAUUCCUAUUACAGAUGGAGUGGAAUUAGGAACCUUGAGUGUGUACUUCUGUCCUCACAGGGGAAUACCGGAGCAAAAAAACAUGCUGUUCUCACAGCUCAAUUACAAUGAGGAAAACACUGACUCUAAUGGCAAGUAAUUGUUGUCUUUGUUCUUUCUGCUCUUUUAUUUUUAAGAGGAUUUUACCUUACACGAAAGUUGCUCAUAGUGAGGGGAACCAGCUAAGGUUCUCAUUGGCAGCUGGGCCUCGUGCUGGGGCUGUGCAGGGGAGCAGUGCAGAGAACGGCAGCUCAGAAAUGAGAGUGAAUUCAUACAUGUCCAGGGGCUCCACACAGCAGCGUCACGGCAUGGCCAAGGCCACAGCUGCAGGCAGUGGUCUGUGCUGGGGACUUCUUCCUGGGCUGCCCAAGGAUUUGCCCCUUUGAAACAAUCCUGAAAGAAGUUUUGUGUACAGCUGCAUUAUAAACAGUUACACAUGGAAGAUGGAUCUGUACUGCAAACAUACGUGGCAGGUGGAUCAAGGACACCCAAAGGACACGCACGUGGAGGUGCUGCUGCAUGUAUGCAAGACUUACCAGAAGCAGAAGGUUACAACCGAGGUUAGAUGUACUUCAGCUCUCUAUGAAAAAGGAUCUAAAUAAUCUGGCAGCUUUUCACGUUUGUGAUAUUUU